UUUCCGUAGGUGAACCUGCGGAAGGAUCAUUACUGAGUGAGGGCCCCUCGGGGUCCAACCUCCCACCCGUGUUUAACGAACCUUGUUGCUUCGGCGGGCCCGCCUCACGGCCGCCGGGGGGCAUCUGCCCCCGGGCCCGCGCCCGCCGAAGACACCUGUGAACGCUGUCUGAAGUAUGCAGUCUGAGACAAUUAUUAAAUUAAUUAAAACUUUCAACAACGGAUCUCUUGGUUCCG
rnacentral:misc_RNA from 1 species